GACAGAGGGUGCAAACGUUGUUCGGAAUUACUGGGCGUAAAGCGAGUGUAGGCGGUCUCGUAAGUCGGGUGUGAAAGCCCCGGGCUCAACCCGGGAAGUGCACUCGAAACUGCGAGGCUAGAGUAUCGGAGAGGUUGGUGGAAUUCUCGGUGUAGAGGUGAAAUUCGUAGAUAUCGAGAGGAACACCGGUGGCGAAGGCGGCCAACUGGACGAAUACUGACGCUGAGACUCGAAAGCGUGGGGAGCGAACAGG
rnacentral:rRNA from 1 species